UAGGGNAUCUUCGGCAAUGGACGGAAGUCUGACCGAGCAACGCCGCGUGAGUGAAGAAGGUUUUCGGAUCGUAAAGCUCUGUUGUAAGAGAAGAACGAGUGUGAGAGUGGAAAGUUCACACUGUGACGGUAUCUUACCAGAAAGGGACGGCUAACUACGUGCCAGCAGCCGCGGUAAUACGUAGGUCCCGAGCGUUGUCCGGAUUUAUUGGGCGUAAAGCGAGCGCAGGCGGUUAGAUAAGUCUGAAGUUAAAGGCUGUGGCUUAACCAUAGUAGGCUUUGGAAACUGUUUAACUUGAGUGCAAGAGGGGAAAGUGGAAUUCCAUGUGUAGCGGUGAAAUGCGUAGAUAUAUGGAGGAACACCGGUGGCGAAUGCGGCUCUCUGGCUUGUAACUGACGCUGAGGCUCGAAAGCGUGGGGAGCAAACAGGAUUAGAUACCCUGGUAGUCCACGCUGUAAACGAUGAGUGCUAGGUGUUAGACCCUUUCCGGGGUUUAGUGCCGUAGCUAACGCAUUAAGCACUCCGCCUGGGGAGUACGACCGCAAGGUUG
rnacentral:rRNA from 1 species